GGGUGAACAGGCAGUGGCUCGAGUGGUUGAUGUCCUUGAUGAUCUUUUUGGCUUUCCAGUGACAUCGGGUGCACCCGGUAAUAUGUUGGGCUUACCUCACCACCCUCUGGAGAGUCUUGCGGUUGCGGGCAGUGCAAUUUAGGGUGGAGUCACAUUCUGGCAGAAUAAAAAAUGGGGGGUCCCCGCUGGAAAAGUCUGAAUACCACUGAUAGUGGCUAUGGAGGUGGUGGAACUGGUUAUUUUGGAGGUGGUGGAACUGGUUAUUUUGGAGGUGGUGUAACUGGUUAUUUUGGAGGUGGUGGAACUUGUUAUUUUGGAGGUGGUGGAAGUGGUUAUUUUGGAGGUGGUGGAACUGGUUAUUUUGGAGGUGGUUGAACUGGUUAUUUUGGAGGUGGUGGAACUGGU
rnacentral:lncRNA from 1 species